rnacentral:rRNA from 1 species
GUCUAUGGCCAUACCACCCUGAACAAGCCCAAUCCCAUCUGAUUUCGGAAGCUAAGCAGGGUCUGGCCUGGUUAGUACUUGAAUGGAAGACCACCUAGAAAGACCAGGUGCUAUAGGUA